rnacentral:rRNA from 1 species
AUACGUAGGGGGCGAGCGUUGUCCGGAAUGAUUGGGCGUAAAGGGCGCGUAGGCGGCGCGGUAAGUCUGGAGUGAAAGUCCUGCUUUCAAGGUGGGAAUUGCUUUGGAUACUGCCGCGCUUGAGUGCAGGAGAGGUUAUCGGAAUUCCCGGUGUAGCGGUGAAAUGCGUAGAGAUCGGGAGGAACACCAGUGGCGAAGGCGGGUAACUGGACUGCAACUGACGCUGAGGCGCGAAAGUGUGGGGAGCAAACAGGAGUAGAUACCCUGGUAGUCCACACUGUAAACGAUGAAUGCUAGGUGUAAGAGGUAUCGACCCCUUUUGUGCCGGAGUCAACACAAUAAGCAUUCCGCCUGGGGAGUACGGCCGCAAGGUUGAAACUCAAAUGAAUUGACGGGG